GGGGUUGUGGCUCAGUGGCAGAGCACUUGCCUAGCAUGUAUGAGGCACUGGGUUCGAUCCUCAGCACCUCA
rnacentral:tRNA from 1 species